CUGGGACGAGAAGACCCUAUAGAGUUUAAUAUUUUUAUAGUUAUUAUUUUUAGGUAUUUAAAUUUAAUAUAUUUGAUAAAAUAUUUUGUUGGGGUGACCGAAAAAUUUAAGUAACUUUUUUUUUAUUUUAACAUUAAUUUGUGAUUUUUUGAUCCAGUGUUUUUGAUUAUAAG
rnacentral:rRNA from 1 species